rnacentral:rRNA from 1 species
UGGGGAAUAUUGGACAAUGGGCGAAAGCCUGAUCCAGCCAUGCCGCGUGUGUGAAGAAGGUCUUCGGAUUGUAAAGCACUUUAAGUUGGGAGGAAGGGCAGUAAGCGAAUACCUUGCUGUUUUGACGUUACCGACAGAAUAAGCACCGGCUAACUCUGUGCCAGCAGCCGCGGUAAUACAGAGGGUGCAAGCGUUAAUCGGAAUUACUGGGCGUAAAGCGCGCGUAGGUGGUUCGUUAAGUUGAAUGUGAAAGCCCCGGGCUCAACCUGGGAACUGCAUCCCAAACUGGCGAGCUAGAGUAGGGCAGGGGGUGGUGGAAUUUCCUGUGUAGCGGUGAAAUGCGUAGGUAUAGGAAGGAACACCAGUGGCGAAGGCGACCACCUGGGCUCAUACAGACACUGAGGUGCGAAAGCGUGGGGAGCAAACAGG